UCCUGGUGGCGAGUGGCGAACGGGUGAGUAAUACAUCGGAACGUGCCCAGUAGUGGGGGAUAACCCGGCGAAAGCCGGACUAAUACCGCAUACGACCUACGGGUGAAAGCGGGGGAUCGCAAGACCUCGCGCUAUCGGAGCGGCCGAUGUCAGAUUAGCUAGUUGGUGGGGUAAAGGCCUACCAAGGCGACGAUCUGUAGCUGGUCUGAGAGGACGACCAGCCACACUGGGACUGAGACACGGCCCAGACUCCUACGGGAGGCAGCAGUGGGGAAUUUUGGACAAUGGGGGCAACCCUGAUCCAGCCAUGCCGCGUGCGGGAAGAAGGCCUUCGGGUUGUAAACCGCUUUUGUCAGGGAAGAAACGCUCCGGGCUAAUACCACGGAGUAAUGACGGUACCUGAAGAAUAAGCACCGGCUAACUACGUGCCAGCAGCCGCGGUAAUACGUAGGGUGCAAGCGUUA
rnacentral:rRNA from 1 species